AACUGGUAUUUCAGCAGCAAACUGGUACUGGUUGAUACUAUUAUUUUAGCGGAAGUCCAUCUUAUUUGCAUACCAAACAGCAAUCACCCGACGACUAUUAACCCACAGCUACCGGUCUUCCCAAAUGUCUGGCUUAAUGUGCGUAUAUGGUUAUAAACUUUUAUUUAUAUAAUUCACCUAUAUAAUUCAAUUAAUUAAAAAAUUAAACAUUUGCGACAUUCAUUUGUAUAAAAGGAUUAGCUUCACCACUUUGCGACACAGUUUAUAGUUGACUUCGUCGUAUUCAGCAGACAUGAAAUUCUUUAUCUUCUUCGCUUUGUUGAUGGUUCUUUUAGGCACCACUUUGGGUGAUGUAAUACAUGUUAUAGGUACCAAGAGACCAACAUUCCAAAAUCAACAACAGCAACAGAAAUUCGGAUCCAAGGCUCCCCAACCUGGCCGCUAGAUAUUUCUUAAGAUUGAUUGUAUGAGUUUGGAGUAUUUCUAUAAGAAGUAUUUGGUUUGAAUAAAUAAAAUAUUACAUACAUCUUAUUUAUAUAAA